rnacentral:misc_RNA from 1 species
GAUGAAGAACGUAGUGAAAUGCGAUAAGUAAUGUGAAUUGCAGAAUUCAGUGAAUCAUCGAAUCUUUGAACGCACAUUGCGCCCCUUGGUAUUCCGAGGGGCAUGCCUGUUCGAGCGUCAUUUCAACCCUCAAGCUCUGCUUGGUCUUGGGCCUGGCCGUGAUGGCCGGUCUUAAAAUCAGUGGCGGUGCCGUCGCAGGCUCCAAGCGUAGUACAUCUCUCGCUCUGGAAACUUGGCGGUGCCUGCCAGACAACCCCUAAUUGUCUCUUUCGGUUGACCUCGGAUCAGGUAGGGAUACCCGCUGAACUUAAGCAUAUCAAUAAGCGGAGGA